rnacentral:rRNA from 1 species
UACGGGGGGGGCGAGCGUUGUUCGGAAUUACUGGGCGUAAAGGGUGCGUAGGCGGCCCGUUAAGUCCGUGGUGAAAGCCUCCAGCUCAACUGGAGAACUGCCAUUGAUACUGGCGGGCUUGAGUACAGACGAGGUAGGCGGAAUUGAUUGUGUAGCGGUGAAAUGCAUAGAUACAAUCAAGAACACCGAUUGCGUAGGCAGCUUACUAGGCUGUAACUGACGCUGAGGCACGAAAGCGUGGGGAGCGAACAGG